rnacentral:rRNA from 1 species
UACGGGGGGGGCGAGCGUUGUUCGGAAUUACUGGGCGUAAAGGGUUCGUAGGUGGCCUGCUAAGUCAGACGUGAAAUCCCUCAGCUUAACUGGGGAACUGCGUCUGAAACUGGCGGGCUUGAGUGCAGGAGAGGAACGCGGAAUUCCAGGUGUAGCGGUGAAAUGCGUAGAUAUCUGGAGGAACACCGGUGGCGAAGGCGGCGUUCUGGACUGCUACUGACACUGAGGAACGAAAGCCAGGGAGCAAACGGG